rnacentral:rRNA from 1 species
AUUGAACGCUGGCGGCAGGCCUAACACAUGCAAGUCGAGCGAGCGGCGGACGGGUGAGUAAUGUCUGGGAAACUGCCUGAUGGAGGGGGAUAACUACUGGAAACGGUAGCUAAUACCGCAUACCAUCAGAUGUGCCCAGAUGGGAUUGGCUCGUAGGUGGGGUAACGGCUCACCUGGGCGACGAUCCCUAGCUGGUCUGAGCGGAUGACCAGCCACACUGGAACGGGGACACGGUCCAGACUCCUACGGGAGGGAGCAGUGGGGAAUAUUGCACAAGGGGCGCAAGCCUGAUGAAGCUAUGCCGCGGGUGUGAAGAAGGCCUUCGGGUUGUAAAGCACUUUCAGCGGGGAGGAGUUACCCGCAGAAGAAGCCCCGGCUAACUCCGUGCCAGCAGCCGCGAUAAUUC